GAUGAACGCUGGCGGCGUGCCUAAUACAUGCAAGUCGAGCGAACGGACGAGAAGCUUGCUUCUCUGAUGUUAGCGGCGGACGGGUGAGUAACACGUGGAUAACCUACCUAUAAGACUGGGAUAACUUCGGGAAACCGUAGCUAAUACCGGAUAAUAUUUUGAACCGCAUGGUUCAAAAGUGAAAGACGGUCUUGCUGUCACUUAUAGAUGGAUCCGCGCUGCAUUAGCUAGUUGGUAAGGUAACGGCUUACCAAGGCAACGAUGCAUAGCCGACCUGAAAGGGAGAUCGGCCACACUGGAACUGAGACACGGUCCAGACUCCUACGGGAGGCACCAGUAGGGAAUCUUCCGCAAUGGGCGAAAGCAUGACGGAGCAACGCCGAUCCAGUUAUGAAGGGCUGCGGAUCGUAGAACUCUGUUAUAAGGGAAGAACGUAUGUGUAAGUAACUGUGCACUUAAUGACGGUACCUAAUCAGAAAGCAACGGCUAACUACGUG
rnacentral:rRNA from 1 species